AUCUCAAGAGAGAGACAGAGAAAGAGACAGAGACAGAGACCAAAACAAAGCAACGAUCUUAAUCCUCAGCUUGGUACUUGUGAGUGUGGGAGUGUGCAGUUUGCAGAGAAGGUUUGAAUGUUCACCAGGUAAGCAUGUCCUUUUGGGCUAAGGGUAAUUGGAUUAAGCCCUGACAUUGUUGGUUGGAUGCAUGGCCAUCAACCUUGAGCCAGCCAACCUCACAAGAGGAUGAUGAUGAUGACAUGGGCACACACCCUUUUCAAGAAUUCAAAACUACACAAACUCCUGUAUCUAAACAGUCACCUUAAACUAAUCUAAACAGUCCAUCUCAACUUAAAAGACUAUAAGCCUAGUGGUUCGAGCUUAGAGAGUAAAGAAAGGGUGAUCAGAGUGAGGGAAGAAGGACAAGUGACGUAUUAGUCGUUUCUCUUGUCAUUUCCAAAGGUAUUCAGUGUGUUCAAUCAAUCCUUCUUAGUAUUUCCAUUAGUGUUCAUGUGGUUGUUGGAUUGGACUAAUUCUGUAGAUUAUAGCUCGAUGUUGCUGCUCUCACUCAUUCAUGGCUUCUCUCACAGGGAAGUCUAAAUGAGCAGCAAAAUGGGUAACCUUCCAAAGACUUGUUGAUUGAUGUUUAAUGAAUGAGUAGGUGAUCGAUCGUGUUCAUCCACUGCAGCAGAUUUGACUUCUUUUCCCAAGCGCAAGCUUUUCUCCACCUUGGAAUCGCACUGAAGCGACAAUAGAGGACGAGUGCUACAGAAAAUACGAUCGUUCAUGAACUGAUCCAUACGAUCUUCGAUCUUCUUCGGCUUGGGUUGCGAGAAAAUAUACGUGUAUCACCGGUGCAUGUUCAUGUAGAAGAUUCCUGGGUACGGGGAGACUCUGAAGCGACACCAUGAACGUGAUUGCUCCAUGGACACCAAGUACAGGCCGAGAUCAGAUGACACCCAUGAGUUUGACCGGACGGUGCGACCGAGCCCGUUCUGCCGUCUUCUCCAUGGACGCCGAGGCGGAGAUGCUGCAGCAACAACCGUUGCACGUCGAUCCUAUCCUCGACCCCGUUGUCGAAGGAGCGAUCGGGAUAUGGGCUGAUUGAUGCGACAAGAGGAUCAUGGAGAGAGAUAGCGAGAAGAAUGGCAUCACACGUCAUGGAGAAAGCUGUGGCACGGCUCGGUGGACUUGGCAGUGUAAGCCGACAAGGAGAUGGUAGUGAGUGGCGCAGGUACCGAAAUGUGCCCUAGGGAGGAGCAUUUCGGUUAGGGAGAUGAGGCAGCGUGAUGCAAGCACAGCCUCCUUCGUUUGGAGGAAGAUAAAGAGUGCAGUGCAGUGCAAAGUUUUGAGCUC